rnacentral:rRNA from 1 species
GACGAACGCUGGCGGCGUGCCUAAUACAUGCAAGUCGAGCGAUGAUUAAAGAUAGCUUGCUAUUUUUAUGAAGAGCGGCGAACGGGUGAGUAACGCGUGGGAAAUCUGCCGAGUAGCGGGGGACAACGUUUGGAAACGAACGCUAAUACCGCAUAACAAUGAGAAUCGCAUGAUUCUUAUUUGAAAGAAGCAAUUGCUUCACUACUUGAUGAUCCCGCGUUGUAUUAGCUAGUUGGUAGUGUAAAGGACUACCAAGGCGAUGAUACAUAGCCGACCUGAGAGGGUGAUCGGCCACACUGGGACUGAGACACGACCCAGACUCCUACGGGAGGCAGCAGUAGGGAAUCUUCGGCAAUGGGGGCAACCCUGACCGAGCAACGCCGCGUGAGUGAGGAAGGUUUUCGGAUCGUAAAACUCUGUUGUUAGAGAAGAACGUUAAGUAGAGUGGAAAAUUACUUAAGUGACGGUAUCUAACCAGAAAGGGACGGCUAACUACGUGCCAGCAGCCGCAGUAAGAC